rnacentral:rRNA from 2 species
CAUUUGCCUUUUGUGAUACGCUUUCAAAGAGUCAGGUUGUUUGGGAAUGCAGCCUAAAUUGGGUGGUAAAUCUCACCUAAAGCUAAAUAUUGGCGAGAAACCGAUAGCGAACAAGUACCGUGAGGGAAAGAUGAAAAGAACUUUGAAAAGAGAGUUAAACAGUAUGUGAAAUUGUUAAAAGGGAACCGUUUGGAGCCAGACUGGCUUGUCUGUAAUCAAUCUAGGCUUCGGCCUGGAUGCACUUGCAGGCUAUGCCUGCCAACGACAAUUUGACUUGAGGGAAAAAACUAGGGGAAAUGUGGCCCACUUGUGGGUGUUAUAGUCCCUUAGAAAAUACCUUGGGUUGGAUUGAGGAACGCAGCGAAUGCUUAUUGGCGAGUUUUCCAGGAAGGUUUUCUGAGGUACUACGGUAUCAAGGUUGAUCU